AACGAACGCUGGCGGCAGGCUUAACACAUGCAAGUCGAACGCCCCGCAAGGGGAGUGGCAGACGGGUGAGUAACGCGUGGGAACAUACCCUUUUCUACGGAAUAGCUCUGGGAAACUGGAAUUAAUACCGUAUACGCCCUACGGGGGAAAGAUUUAUCGGGGAAGGAUUGGCCCGCGUUGGAUUAGCUAGUUGGUGGGGUAAAGGCCUACCAAGGCGACGAUCCAUAGCUGGUCUGAGAGGAUGAUCAGCCACAUUGGGACUGAGACACGGCCCAAACUCCUACCGGAAGCAGCAGUGGGGAAUAUUGGACAAUGGGCGCAAGCCUGAUCCAGCCAUGCCGCGUGAGUGAUGAAGGCCUUAGGGUUGUAAAGCUCUUUCACCGAUGAAGAUAAUGACGGUAGUCGGAGAAGAAGCCCCGGCUAACUUCGUG
rnacentral:rRNA from 1 species